UCUGGCCUCGGUUACGCUGGUGUAAAUCUGGAGUGGAUCCCCUGACUUCAGUGGCGUCACUCCGCAUUUACAUUGCUGUGACUGAGAGCACAAC
rnacentral:ncRNA from 2 species